AGGUAACGUCGAGAUUGGAACUUACGAUCUCCUGUUUACUAGACAAGCGCCUUAACCAACUAAGCCACAGCGCC
rnacentral:tRNA from 1 species